rnacentral:tRNA from 1 species
GCUUGGCUGGCUCAGUCGGUUAAGCGUCUGACUUUGGCUCAGGUCAUGAUCUCACGGUCCGUGAGUUCGAGCCCCGUGUCGGGCU